GUGCGGUUGCUGGGGGUGAUGGCCUGCAACCCAGGAGAACUGGGUGAAGGCACAAUAAAGAAGCUGGUUUCAACUAAACAUCUCAGCAUGACCAUGUGAGAGCCCCCGUCUAAUGAGUGGAAUUGUGCCUCAUGGCCACCUUUAGUUGCAAAGAAGGCUGGGAAGAUGAAUUUCUAUCAUCUCUAAACUCUGGGAACUGGGAUUGGCUAUUGAAUGGGUAACCAAGGAUUCAUAUCAAUUACAAUCAUUGUGUUUGAAUUUCCUGUGUUACACAUAAACAUUAACCUUUCAGCCAGAGGGACAUUUCUAAUAUCUCUUAAUACCACAAGAGCUAAAAAUACCAAAGCCUAUCUUCUUCAAUAGUAAUGUGUCAUAAAGAUUAAUAAUGUUUCUUUUUUUUUAAUAAUGUUUCUUAA